UGUUCAUGCAAAGGUUGGAGACGACGUCAUUCUGCCAUGUCAUCUGGAGCCUCCAUUUGAUUUGACCACAUUUACAAUCGAAUGGAGAUUCAAGGAUGAAAUAAUCCAUGUUCAACACAACCAAACUAAAGAUGAUGGAGCUUCAGAUCCAAGUACCGUGACCGAACCUUCAUGUUCCCUGAUGAGUUUAUAAAUGGCAACAUUUCCCUCAAAUUGACCAAAGUCACCAAGGAGGAUGAAGGGAAUUAUAUUUGCUUUGUUCCCAAACUGCAAAGUCAAGCCAGGAAGGGAAACGUUACUCUAAUACUUGGACCUCCUAGAGUUUUUGUUGGUGUUGUUGUUGCACUCAUCUUCUUCUUCACCGUCAUCAUCAUCGUCGUCAUCAUAAUCAAGCGAUCUCAAAUCCAGCGUGUUCUACGUCACUACAGAGGUGAACAAAUUUUUCCAUGCUGGAGGAAAAACUCUCAACAUGAACCAGAGAGAAAUGAUGAAG